rnacentral:tRNA from 1 species
GGGUCGUUAGCUCAACAGGUAGAGCAGCGGACUUUUAAUCCGUUGGUCACAGGUUCGAAUCCAGUACGGCCCA